rnacentral:lncRNA from 10 species
GUGAGGAGGGCUGUCCACAGGGAGGAACCUGCUUUGGAGUGGAUGGUGCAAAUUCGUGGCAAGAGAAGAGGCCUCAGAUUCAGGUUGUACACUCUGGUUCUUUCACCACCAUACGAAGGUCCAGCCUCAUGCUAGGACCUUGGGGGCCCCACAAGGAUGAGGCCUCUAGGCCUUCCCUCAGGGAGCAAGGGAAGAACAGCAAAAUCAGAAACAUCCUAGGACAGAUUGUAUCAGACUGAACAGUGACCACACAUCCCAGAUCCCACCCUGUGGUAGGCUAGCCAAGCAUAUUCCCCUACUAUUGCUUACUCGGUCCCACCAUUUGGGUCUUCAAGCCACAUCUUCCUCCUAUGGGUAGUACCCAGAAGAGACACAAAACUCCUUGGUUGGUUCAGUCACUAAGUCUUUACUGAGCAGCUACAAUGGGCCAGGCACAGUGCCAGGGGGCUCAGCAGUGGCCAGAAUACUGCCCUCGCCCUUACAGAGUCAUUGUCCAGAGGUGGAGAGGGACAUGUCACAGGAGACAAUGCAGAUUAAUAUUAUGCUGAAUGCUACCAAGGACAAGGCCGAGAUCAAACAGAGCGGAGGCCUGGGCACCAGACCUUACCCCAGCCACAUCUUUGUAGGGUG